rnacentral:rRNA from 1 species
UCUACGGGAGGCAGCAGUGAGGAAUAUUGGUCAAUGGACGAGAGUCUGAACCAGCCAAGUAGCGUGAAGGAUGACUGCCCUAUGGGUUGUAAACUUCUUUUAUAUGGGAAUAAAAUGUUCCACGUGUGGGAUUUUGUAUGUACCAUAUGAAUAAGGAUCGGCUAACUCCGUGCCAGCAGCCGCGGUAAUACGGAGGAUCCGAGCGUUAUCCGGAUUUAUUGGGUUUAAAGGGAGCGUAGGUGGAUUGUUAAGUCAGUUGUGAAAGUUUGCGGCUCAACCGUAAAAUUGCAGUUGAAACUGGCAGUCUUAAGAACAGUAGAGGUGGGCGGAAUGCGUGGUGUAGCGGUGAAAUGCUUAGAUAUCACGAAGAACUCCGAUUGCGAAGGCAGCUCACUGGACUGCAACUGACACUGAGGCUCGAAAGUGUGGGUAUCAAACAGGAGUAGAUACCCCUGUAGUC